CUGGGAUAGAACCCUUGCCUUUGAGUACCUUUUCGUUUCCUCGGUGGGCUCGCCCGCCGGUGGACAACCAUAAACUCUUUGUAAUAGCAGUAUCUUCUGAGAAAAACAAAUAGUCAAAACUUUCAACAACGGAUCUCUUGGUUCUGGCAUCGAUGAAGAACGCAGCGAAAUGCGAUAAGUAGUGUGAAUUGCAGAAUUCAGUGAAUCAUCGAAUCUUUGAACGCACAUUGCGCCCUUCGGUAUUCCGUUGGGCAUGCCUGUUCGAGCGUCAUUUAAGCAUUCAAGCUCAGCUUGGUGUUGGGUGCUUGUCCUCCCCCGCGGUGGACUCACCUCAAAUGCAUUGGCGGCCGGUAUGUUGGCUUCGAGCGCAGUAGAAACGCGCCAGACGCCCUGACAUGCUGGUCCCCCACAAGACCAC
rnacentral:rRNA from 1 species